rnacentral:rRNA from 1 species
AAAGCAUCGACGCGAGGUUCAAGUCACCCGUACCCCAAACCGACUCAGGUGGUCAGGUAGAGAAUACCAAGGCGAUCGAGUGAACUGUGGUUAAGGAACUCGGCAAAAUGCCCCCGUAACUUCGGGAGAAGGGGGGCCGGAGGCGUGAGAGCGCUGAUGGCCGCAGAGACCAGGGAGAAGCGACUGUUUACUAAAAACACAGGUCCGUGCCAAGUCGCAAGACGAUGUAUACGGACUGACGCCUGCCCGGUGCUGGAACGUUAAGGGGACCGGUCAACCCGUAAGGGUGAAGCUGAGAACUUAAGCGCCAGUAAACGGCGGUGGUAACUAUAACCAUCCUAAGGUAGCGAAAUUCCUUGUCGGGUAAGUUCCCGACCCGCAGCGAAAGGCGUAACGAUCUGGAUGGUGUCUCAGAGAGAGACUCGGCGAAAUAGGAAUGUCUGUGAAGAUACGGACUGCCUGCACCUGGACAGAAA